rnacentral:misc_RNA from 1 species
CUGUAACACCUUACCGGAGCCAUCCCCGUAUUCUCUCCAAUCUUUGCUCUGAAUCUCUGACCGGAAAUCCUCAGGCAUCUGCUACAUUUGGUUUUAAUCCGAAUAAUGAAAUUGAAAAGUCCGAGGAAUACAAUUGUGGAUCUGGAGUUAGUCAGAGAAGUCUUGCAUCCAACUAUUCUCCCGUUGAACAAGCUCCUAGUGCACGUACUAAACAACCUAGUAAAAGGAAGUCUUCUAGAGAUACCAUUGAAGCUACCAAAGGAAUAAAUGCAGAUCUACUUGAUAACCUGAAUUUAG